UACAGAGGGUGCAAGCGUUGUUCGGAAUCAUUGGGCGUAAAGGGCGUGUAGGCGGUUUGCUAAGUCAGUUGUGAAAGCCCGGGGCUCAACCUCGGAACUGCCUUUGAUACUGCAAAUCUCGAGUCCGGAAGAGGUGAGUGGAAUUCCUAGUGUAGAGGUGAAAUUCGUAGAUAUUAGGAAGAACACCAGUGGCGAAGGCGGCUCACUGGUCCGGUACUGACGCUGAGGUGCGAAAGCGUGGGGAGCAAACAGGG
rnacentral:rRNA from 1 species